GACGAACGCUGGCGGCGUGCUUAACACGUGCAGGUCGAACGCUGAAGCUCAGCUUUUGUUGGGUGGAUGAGUGGCGAACGGGUGAGUAACACGUGAGUAACCUGCCCCCUUCUUUGGGAUAACGCCCGGAAACGGGUGCUAAUACUGGAUAUUCACUGGUCUUCGCAUGGGGGUUGGUGGAAAGGGUUUUUCUGGUGGGGGAUGGGCUCGCGGCCUAUCAGCUUGUUGGUGGGGUGAUGGCCUACCAAGGCUUUGACGGGUAGCCGGCCUGAGAGGGUGACCGGUCACAUUGGGACUGAGAUACGGCCCAGACUCCUACGGGAGGCGGCAGUGGGGAAUAUUGCACAAUGGGCGCAAGCCUGAUGCAGCGACGCCGCGUGAGGGAUGGAGGCCUUCGGGUUGUGAACCUCUUUCGCUCAUGGUCAAGCCGCAACAAUGGUUGUGGUGAGGGUAGUGGGUAAAGAAGCGCCGGCUAACUACGUG
rnacentral:rRNA from 1 species